rnacentral:misc_RNA from 1 species
AAGUCGUAACAAGGUUUCCGUAGGUGAACCUGCGGAAGGAUCAUUAAUGAAAGUCUGGGCUCCGGCCCUCUCUCUUCUACACACUUGUGAACCUACACCGUUGCUUUGGCAGGUCUCCGGAAGGGACAUUCGAAAUGUCCCCAAAGGUCAGACCGAAAGGUGCCUGCCAAAGACAUUUUACCCACACGUUUUUAUCGUCUGAAUCUUUGUUUAUACAAAAUGAAAUAAAACUUUCAACAAUGGAUCUCUUGGCUCUG